ACUCCCUGGCAAUGGAAAAAGAGACCCCUUGUUGGUGGCAUUGUUCUUAUAUCAGUCAGGGGCAGAGCAGUUGGCAGUCCUGUGUUCCUCCUAGCCUGAUGCCUGCCUUUAGUAGCCAAAGCUCUCUUCGGCCUAGGACUCAUAA